UCCAGGAAAUGCAGCCGCUGCAGGUUGAAGGGGAUGCCGACCAUCAGGUCCAGCUCUUCUUUGAGCUCCCGCACUGUCAUGUCGUUGCGGCAGUUGGCCACGCGGAACACCUCCCCAGUCUCCUCCAGCCUCACCCGCAGGAUAUAGACGUCAGGGGCAAAGUCCGGCGACGCGGUGGAGGCAAGCGGGUCCCCUGUGUGCCCCUUAACCCGUGCGCGGGCCCGGUUGGAGGGCUGAGCAGGGCGCGCGCCCGCCUUGGGGUCGCCCCCCUGCCGCUUCGGCGGACGCGUGCCCGCCCCCGCCACGUCUGCCGCCCUCUGCAUGGCCCGCGUCAUCCCGCGCGUCAUCGCCGCCCCCGCCUGGGGCCCCCGGGACAGGAGAGGGGCGCCCGCGCUUCCGGAGACGGCUCCAACCCCCCUCUUCCGCGGCCCUCGCCAGCCUCCUAGCCCUGUGGGGAACCUCGUCUGUUCUGGGCAGUCUGCGUGAUUAGUGAGAAACGCCCGGCCCACAGUUUCUAAGGUGGUCGCUAUGUGCUUGGAACAUAGCAAUCCAAGCUGACCUGGGCCACCUGGAACAGGCAGAGGCUUGCGUGGAAAUGGCACCAAACCCAUGUGCCCUGACGUUGUGACAUCCUUGGAGGGAGAAACAUGUCUGGCUUUGCUGUGGAAAAAUACCGGCUAUGUCCUCCUAACCCAACAGGGGGCGCUGGUGAGUCCUCUCACUGCAGUUGUUUACAAGGCAGCCAUCUAAACUGCAGGCCUUGGAUUAAGACUGGCUUCAUCAAAGCUGGCUUUCAGCACAGCUCCUGGAGAUGGCGUACCACCCCCCUUUGCCUUUGUGAUACCAGAAGACAGCAUGAUCAAACACCAAAACGAUUAAAACAAUACUUGGGGGAACAAAACCAAAGACAUGGCUUUCCAUGUCUAGCGGGAUCCUGA